GACAGAGGGUGCAAACGUUGCUCGGAAUCACUGGGCGUAAAGGGCGUGUAGGCGGGAGGGAAAGUCAGAUGUGAAAUCCCCAGGCUCAACCUGGGAACUGCAUUUGAAACUCCCCUUCUUGAGUAUCAGAGAGGAAAGCGGAAUUCCUGGUGUAGAGGUGAAAUUCGUAGAUAUCAGGAGGAACACCAGUGGCGAAGGCGGCUCACUGGCCCGGUACUGACGCUGAGGUGCGAAAGCGUGGGGAGCAAACAGG
rnacentral:rRNA from 1 species